GACGAACGCUGGCGGCGUGCUUAACACAUGCAAGUCGAACGGAAAGGCCCUGCUUUUGUGGGGUGCUCGAGUGGCGAACGGGUGAGUAACACGUGAGUAACCUGCCCUUGACUGUGGGAUAACUUCAGGAAACUGGGGCUAAUACCGGAUAGGAGCUCCUGCUGCAUGGUGGGGGUUGGAAAGUUUCGGCGGUUGGGGAUGGACUCGCGGCUUAUGAGCUUGUUGGUGGGGUAGUGGCUUACCAAGGCUUUGACGGGUAGCCGGCCUGAGAGGGUGACCGGCCACAUUGGGACGGAAAUGCGGCCCAGACUCCUACGGGAGGCAGCAGUGGGGAAUAGUGCACAAUGGGCGGAAGCCUGAUGCAGCAACGCCGCGUGCGGGAUGACGGCCUUCGGGUUGUAAACCGCUUUCGCCUGUGACGAAGCGUGAGUGACGGUAAUGGGUAAAGAAGCACCGGCUAACUACGUG
rnacentral:rRNA from 1 species